GAUGAACGCUGGCGGCGUGCCUAAUACAUGCAAGUCGAGCGAACGGACGAGAAGCUUGCUUCUCUGAUGUUAGCGGCGGACGGGUGAGUAACACGUGGAUAACCUACCUAUAAGACUGGGAUAACUUCGGGAAACCGGAGCUAAUACCGGACGAUAUUUUGAACCGCAUGGUUCAAAAGUGAAAGACGGUCUUGCUGUCACUUAUAGAUGGAUCCGCGCUGCAUUAGCUAGUUGGUAAGGUAACGGCUUACCAAGGCAACGAUGCAUAGCCGACCUGAGAGGGUGAUCGGCCACACUGGAACUGAGACACGGUCCAGACUCCUACGGAAGGCAGCAGUAGGGAAUCUUCCGCAAUGGGCGAAAGCCUGACGGAGCAACGCCGCGUGAGUGAUGAAGGUCUUCGGAUCGUAAAACUCUGUUAUUAGGGAAGAACAUAUGUGUAAGUAACUGCGCACAUCUUGACGGUACCUAAUCAGAAAGCCACGGCUAACUACGUG
rnacentral:rRNA from 1 species